GUGCCAGCAGCCGCGGUAAUACGGAGGGCGCAAACAUUGUCCGGAAUUACUGGGCGUAAAGGGAGCGCAGGUGGCUUGGUAAGUCCUAUGUGAAAGCCCGCGGCUCAACCGCGGAAAGCCAUAGGAUACUGCCGAGCUUGAGACGGGUAGAGGCGAGCGGAAUUCCCGGUGUAGCGGUGGAAUGCGUAGAUAUCGGGAAGAACACCAGUGGCGAAGGCGGCUCGCUGGGCCCGUUCUGACGCUCAGGCCCGAAAGCGUGGGGAGCAAACAGGAUUAGAUACCCUGGUAGUCCACGCCGUAAACGAUGGGCACUAGGUGCCGGGGAGUGUGACCUUUUCGGUGCCGUAGCUAACGCGUUAAGUGCCCCGCCUGGGGAGUACGGCCGCAAGGCUGAAACUCAAAGGAAUUGACGGGGGCCCGCACAAGCGGUGGAGCAUGUGGUUUAAUUCGAUGCAACGCGAAGAACCUUACCUGGGCUUGACAUCCUGGGGAAGUCGGGUGGAAACAUCCGGUGCCCUUCGGGGCUCCAGGACAGGUGCUGCAUGGC
rnacentral:rRNA from 1 species